GCUCCGGUGGCCUAGUGGUUAGAGUGUCCGUCUCGGAUGCGGUAAGUCGUGGGUUUGAUUCUCGGUCGAGUCA